rnacentral:sRNA from 1 species
ACGCCUAAUGGUAAAACUAUAAAAAUUUCAUCAUAACAACCAAAAAGAAUUAUAAGAGAUGAAUUAUGAUAGUUU